CGCCCUUAGAGUUUGAUCCUGGCUCAGGACGAACGCUGGCGGCGUGCCUAAUACAUGCAAGUCGAGCGAGCUUGCCUAGAUGAAUUUGGUGCUUGCACCAGAUGAAACUAGAUACAAGCGAGCGGCGGACGGGUGAGUAACACGUGGGUAACCUGCCCAAGAGACUGGGAUAACACCUGGAAACAGAUGCUAAUACCGGAUAACAACACUAGACGCAUGUCUAGAGUUUAAAAGAUGGUUCUGCUAUCACUCUUGGAUGGACCUGCGGUGCAUUAGCUAGUUGGUAAGGCAACGGCUUACCAAGGCAAUGAUGCAUAGCCGAGUUGAGAGACUGAUCGGCCACAUUGGGACUGAGACACGGCCCAAACUCCUACGGGAGGCAGCAGUAGGGAAUCUUCCACAAUGGACGCAAGUCUGAUGGAGCAACGCCGCGUGAGUGAAGAAGGGUUUCGGCUCGUAAAGCUCUGUUGGUAGUGAAGAAAGAUAGAGGUAGUAACUGGCCUUUAUUUGACGGUAAUUACUUAGAAAGUCACGGCUAACUACGUGCCAGCAGCCGCGGUAAUACGUAGGUGGCAAGCGUUGUCCGGAUUUAUUGGGCGUAAAGCGAGUGCAGGCGGUUCAAUAAGUCUGAUGUGAAAGCCUUCGGCUCAACCGGAGAAUUGCAUCAGAAACUGUUGAACUUGAGUGCAGAAGAGGAGAGUGGAACUCCAUGUGUAGCGGUGGAAUGCGUAGAUAUAUGGAAGAACACCAGUGGCGAAGGCGGCUCUCUGGUCUGCAACUGACGCUGAGGCUCGAAAGCAUGGGCAGCGAACAGGAUUAGAUACCCUGG
rnacentral:rRNA from 1 species